rnacentral:rRNA from 1 species
CCUACGGGUGGCAGCAGUGAGGAAUAUUGGUCAAUGGCCGAGAGGCUGAACCAGCCAAGUCGCGUGAGGGAAGACGGCCCUACGGGUUGUAAACCUCUUUUGUCGGGGAGCAAAGCGAGUCAUGUGUGAUUCAUUGAGAGUACCCGAAGAAAAAGCAUCGGCUAACUCCGUGCCAGCAGCCGCGGUAAUACGGAGGAUGCGAGCGUUAUCCGGAUUUAUUGGGUUGAAAGGGUGCGCAGGCGGAGGUGCAAGUCAGCGGUCAAAUUGCGGGGCUCAACCCCGUACUGCCGUUGAAACUGCAUCCCUUGAGUGCGCGAGAAGUAUGCGGAAUGCGUGGUGUAGCGGUGAAAUGCAUAGAUAUCACGCAGAACUCCGAUUGCGAAGGCAGCAUAUCGGCGCGCAACUGACGCUCAUGCACGAAAGCGUGGGUAUCGAACAGGAUUAGAUACUCCUGUAGUC